rnacentral:rRNA from 1 species
UACGUAGGGGGCGAGCGUUGUCCGGAAUCAUUGGGCGUAAAGAGCGUGUAGGCGGCUUGGCAAGUCUGACGUGAAAGCCCGCGGCUCAACCGCGGAUUGUCGUUGGAAACUGCCUCGCUAGAGUCCGGAAGAGGAGAGCGGAAUUCCUGGUGUAGCGGUGGAAUGCGCAGAUAUCAGGAAGAACACCCGUGGCGAAGGCGGCUCUCUGGGGCGGUACUGACGCUGAGACGCGAAAGCGUGGGGAGCGAACAGG